rnacentral:rRNA from 1 species
UACCUGCAGCUCGAGUGGUAACCGCUAUUAUUGGGCCUAAAGCGUCCGUAGCCGGUUUGGUAAACAUCUGGGUAAAUCGUGAGGCUUAACUUCACGAAUUUCGGAUAGACUGCCAGACUUGGGAUCGGGGGAGGUCAGAGGUACUCCAGGGGUAGCGGUGAAAUGUUGUAAUCCUUGGAGGACCACCGGUAGCGAAGGCGUCUGACUAGAACGAGUCCGACGGUGAGGGACGAAGCCCUGGGGCGCAAACCGGAUUAGAUACCCGGGUAGUCCAGGGUGUAAACGAUGUGGGCUUUGUAUUGGAGGUCCCACGUGGGCGUCCAGUGCAGAAGAGAAGUUGUUAAGCCCACCGCCUGGGAAGUACGGUCGCAAGGCUGAAACUUAAAGGAAUUGGCGGGGGAGCACAGCAACGGGAGGAGCGUGCGGUUU